UUGGGUUUCAAUAUAUGCAUGCCUUUUAUUAACUUCAUUGGCUAUCUUAAAUAGCCUUGCAACUGGAAUGGGAAAAGGAAAUUAACAACUACUAAAAAGUAGGGAACACAUGCCCACUAACCCACUAACUACAUGCCAGUAAAAUUGGUCCUAACAACAAGGAAAUAACAACCCAAAUAAACAACUCAAGACUAACUAAAUUGAACCCAUGUAUGCACCAUGUAGGUAGAAACAUGCAUGGGCUUUGCAUCAUGGCAGCAACAUGCACACAUCAAAAGGAAAACUUCAAGUUUUCUAUUCUUUUCUUUUCUGUUCUAAUUUAAGUUUUUUAUUCUUUUCUUUUCUGUUCAAAACUCAGAAACAGAAUGUUACGAUAAUUACUCUUGAUUGAUUUGUUUUAGUGCUAUGCACAGCUGGGUUCAAGGAAAUAAGAACCAGAAGAGGAGAGGCGGAGACCCUCCAUGACUCCCUAGGUUUUUCACUCUCCCUUCUCUCUACCUUUUUCCAUAGCUGAUUUCACCCUCCUUUUCACCUUUCUUCCUUUCCCUUCUCCGAAUCUGCAAGCGAAUGUAGCCGAAUGAAGUUUUGCCUGCAGAUUCCAUUCCAGUUUCCUCAGACCUAACCGAAAUAUUACCAGCCAAAUCAACGUCAACCACUAUAUCAGAUUCAACCAUGUCAACCACUAUAUUAGCAGCCAAAUGUAGGUUCCGCUCCCAUGGGAACAAUUGAUAAUGAUUUGAUGACUAUGAUUGCCAAAAUGAGGUGAGGGCAACUGGGGAUUUUUUUUGAACAACCGAAUUUGGAUUUAGAUAUGGUUUUGGUUUGUUUGUUUUGGAUUUUGAUUGAUUUGUUUGAUGGAAGGAAUUUAGAUUGAGUGAACAACUGAAUUUGAAUUUAGAUAUGGUUUUGAUUUGUUUGUUUUGGAUUUGGAUUUGAUUGAACAGAAUUUAGAAACUCGAUUGUGGAGGGGAAGAGAGAAAGAGAGAACGAGAGAGGGUAACUGGGUUCAAGCAAAGGUAAAUUGAACAUAAAAUAAACUUAACAAAUAUGUGGAGAUCACAGUGUGAAAAUAU
rnacentral:lncRNA from 1 species